UUUUCAAAAUAUUUUUUAUUGGAAUUUUGUGGCAUUUUAAACUGGUUUUUUUUAUUAAAAAUUAGUUUAACUUCGUUGUAACGAUGGCAAUUUUAAAAGCAAAACAAAUAUAAAAAAAAUUAAGAAAGUUCAAACAAUUUUAAAAACAACAACAUAAAAAACAAAAAAAAAAGC
ensembl:ncRNA Y38F1A.11 ncRNA